UUAUUACUCACUGGGCCCUCCUGCAGCUCC
rnacentral:piRNA from 1 species